UCAGCGACUUAUAUUCUGUAGCAAGGUUAACCGUAUAGGGGAGCCGGAGGGAAACCGAGUCUUAACCGGGCGUUAAGUUGCAGGGUAUAGACCCGAAACCCGGUGAUCUAGCCAUGGGCAGGUUGAAGGUUGGGUAACACUAACUGGAGGACCGAACCGACUAAUGUUGAAAAAUUAGCGGAUGACCUGUGGCUGGGGGUGAAAGGCCAAUCAAACCGGGAGAUAGCUGGUUCUCCCCGAAAGCUAUUUAGGUAGCGCCUCGUGAAUUCAUCUCCGGGGGUAGAGCACUGUUUCGGCUAGGGGGCCAUCCCGGCUUACCAACCCGAUGCAAACUGCGAAUACCGGAGAAUGUUAUCACGGGAGACACACGGCGGGUGCUAACGUCCGUCGUGAAGAGGGAAACAACCCAGACCGCCAGCUAAGGUCCCAAAGUCAUGGUUAAGUGGGAAACGAUGUGGGAAGGCCCAGACAGCCAGGAUGUUGGCUUAGAAGCAGCCAUCAUUUAAAGAAAGCGUAAUAGCUCACUGGUCGAGUCGGCCUGCGCGGAAGAUGUAACGGGGCUAAACCAUGCACCGAAGCUGCGGCAGCGAACGUAUCACCCAAGACAACUUUACGGAGUUGACGAUUGACGGAGC
rnacentral:rRNA from 1 species